CAAAAACAGAUAAAAUAAUAAAAUAAAAACAGUCCAUAGUGUCCGAUUACAAACGGGCUACAAGGCCCAAACCAAAAAAAGCGGUGGCCCAAAUUACAAUGGCCUAAAACGGAUGAAACCCUAGGGUUCCUAAAUCUUCAACAGCACCGCAACCGAGCCUCCGGAUCCUCGCAAUCUUCACCUGCAAACACAAAUGGAAAGGGAAUCAAAGAUUGGAAAAUCAAAUCGGAAGGAAAUUUGUUACUUUAUUUAUUUUGUUAUACGGCUAUAAGAAGCCUUUGAAUAUACUGUAACAAGGGGGGAUUUUCGAUCAAUAAAAAAGUCCUAUUUUCACAACAAAACAGAGAAACAAACGAAUCAAAAGUUGUUAUUUACAGCUUUUAUCUAUUGUUGUAUUUUUUUAUAUACAUACGAAUAAAAUAAAUAGGGGAAAAGAGAAGACACAACCUGUGUUUUGAAGUCCCAGAUCGCCGUGGAUGGCUGAGGGUGUCGUCUCCGAAGAAAGAUGACCGGAAGCCGAAAGGUUUCAGUGCUUUUAGGGGCACUUUCGUUGGUGUUUUGUGGGAUUUAAGCCCAGAUUUGGGCAAAGGAGGUCGAGAAGGCUAAAAGGCGCCGACGGUGAUGCCGGCGCCGGAGAUCGGUGGCCGGUGACUGGCCGAUGGCCGGACUAGGGGGCUGGUGCCCGGAGGAGAAGGGAGAAUUUGAGAGAUUUUUUUUUAAGUUUUUUUUUGUAAAGAAUGGAAUAAAUGAAAUUUUUGAUUGAAAUUUGGCUUAAAUAAGCCAAUCAAAACGGCACC
rnacentral:lncRNA from 1 species